GGAAGAGUGGGCCUCAGAGCCCUUCUCUCCCAUCUUGUUCAGGUCUUGUGCAAGAAACCACAGCUGCUUCAAGUUGCUGCACAACUGUCUCCCUGGCCUUCCUCAAGCUGCUAAACCUUUCGACCGCCGCCGUUGAUGGAUGCCUGGAUCGCUUUCCAGUGUCGGCUUUGUGAGUCACGCUGCGGAGCCUUCUGCAUGUGUUUCUAGUUCUCUCUAGCAGACUCCGCGGGGUGGAAUUGCCAGGUUACACACAAAGUAUAUGCCUAACAUUAAAGAAAUAACCGGACUGUUUUCCCCAGUGGCUG
rnacentral:lncRNA from 1 species